rnacentral:tRNA from 1 species
GCUGGGCGUGGCCGGUGGAGGGGGCGCGCCUGCUGGCGGUGGGCGCCGCGCUCGCGGCGGCGCGGCCGCUCGGGACCGCGGCCAGCG